rnacentral:rRNA from 1 species
GAUGAACGCUGGCGGCGUGCUUAACACAUGCAAGUCGAACGAAGCAUUUAGAACAGAUUAUUUCGGUAUGAAGUUCUUUAUGACUGAGUGGCGGACGGGUGAGUAACGCGUGGGUAACAUGCCUUGUACUGGGGGAUAGCAGCUGGAAACGGCUGGUAAUACCGCAUAAGCGCACAAUGUUGCAUGACAUGGUGUGAAAAACUCCGGAGCUAGAAGAUGGACCCGCGUCUGAUUAGCUAGUUGGUGAGAUAACAGCCAACCAAGGCGACGAUCAGUAGCCGACCUGAGAGGGUGACCGGCCACAUUGGGACUGAGACACGGCCCAGACUCCUACGGGAGGCAGCAGUGGGGAAUAUUGCACAAUGGAGGAAACUCUGAUGCAGCGACGCCGCGUGAGUGAAGAAGUAAUUCGUUAUGUAAAGCUCUAUCAGCAGGGAAGAUAGUGACGGUACCUGACUAAGAAGCUCCGGCUAAAUACGUGCCAGCCGCCGCGGUAA